CUCCCCAUUCCUUUCUCUCUCACCCUGUCUUCUCUACUUUGCUGCCCUCAAGCGAGGAGUCGAGGACCACACCACAUGGCGAUGCAGCACAAAUCCUCGACCGUAGCUACUCGCGAAGAUGAGGAGCCAUCCAGCGGCAGCUCGCGGAGGUCAGGGGUUGUCCUUGGCAGUGGGAGGUGCAGAGGCAAGGAUCUGCUCUAGCAGCGCCCAGAUCUGGAGCCUUGGUGGACGGUGGUCAGAGAAAGGAGGAGCUGCAGUGGUGGCGGCGCACGAUGGGCAGGAGCUGCCCCUGGUUCCGGAGUGGAGAGGUAAGGCAAGGCCAUGGAGAUUUGGCUACUAGCUCGUGGGCACUUGAACCCAACUAAACUUCAAGAUAACACACAGCUUCCUGUUCCCUCUCUCUCCAUAGAUAUAUUUUUUUGAGAUUUUUUUAAUGUUGCAACAGGUACUUUGAUAUGUUGGAUUUUUUUUAUGUUGCGAUCAAUGAUUUUUGAUGUUGCAACAGGUCAUUUGUGAUGUCAGAAUGAGUGAUUUCUAAUGUUGCAGUUUCUGAUUUUGGAUGUUGCAAUAAGUGUUUAGUUGGGUCUUAGCCUUACCCCCAUAUUGCAGCAGUUGAUUUGGAAUAUCACAAGAGAUGAUUUCUGAUAUUGCAAUGCUUUUUCGUAAUGUUGUAUAUUUGAAUUGAUGUUUUCAAUCGGUGGUACGGUGGUACAUGAUGUUGC
rnacentral:lncRNA from 1 species